CCUACGGGGUGCACCAGUGGGGAAUAUUGCGCAAUGGGGGCAACCCUGACGCAGCCAUGCCGCGUGAAUGAAGAAGGCCUUCGGGUUGUAAAGUUCUUUCGGUAGCGAGGAAGGCAUUUAGUUUAAUAGACUAGGUGAUUGACGUUAACUACAGAAGAAGCACCGGCUAACUCCGUGCCAGCAGCCGCGGUAAUACGGAGGGUGCGAGCGUUAAUCGGAAUAACUGGGCGUAAAGGGCACGCAGGCGGUGACUUAAGUGAGGUGUGAAAGCCCCGGGCUUAACCUGGGAAUUGCAUCUCAUCCUGGGUCGCUAGAGUACUUUAGGGAGGGGUAGAAUUCCACGUGUAGCGGUGAAAUGCGUAGAGAUGUGGAGGAAUACCGAAGGCGAAGGCAGCCCCUUGGGAAUGUACUGACGCUCAUGUGCGAAAGCGUGGGGAGCAAACAGGAUUAGAUACCCCUGUAGUC
rnacentral:rRNA from 1 species